AAUAUUUUUUCAAACCUCGUAGGUAUAUUUUUAUUUAGCUGAUAUUAUACUCAAGUAACUAUUGGUUUCGUACAGGCAGAGCCAUCUAUCGGCAGGAUUGUAUUGAUAACCCAGUUUGCUGUUAGCUAGAAUGACAAAAGAUGGCGUGUCGAUCGUCGUUAAUUUAUUUCCUUCCAAAAUCCCUUUUGAAUUUUCAUUUAUUAAAAAUAAAACUCAAUUUAUUAUUGUAUUGUUAGUUUUCGUUCCUUUUUGGAAAUAUUUUAUUACCCUCUUUAAGACAGAAGUUAAAGUUGUUGUCUAUAGGCGAAUGCAUCUCGUCACGUAUCUGUGGGCCGAGCUGUCAGCCGACACUUUGCAUAUUGGAAAGGAUGUAGACGGGUGGUUUUCAAAUUCUUCAGGGCCAAUGCGCCACAUUCUAAUUUUUAAAUCGCGAAUUAAUCGCAUAAUCAUGAUUUUAAUUUUAUAAAAUUACUGAGGACCCCUUCCAUUGACAUGAUUGCACGGAACCACAAGCCGGCUUCUUUUCUGGAAUGGGUCCUCAGAUUUGGAGGUUAACGUUCGAAGACAGAGCAGAGCUGAUGCUUCCCGAGCCUGGACCGGUGGACAGGAGGCUGUGGCGAUCGGUAUGGAAGAGCUCCCAUUCCGUGGCUGCAGCGGCCACCUCUCCUCAAUUCGGUUAGACGUCCCCCAAGGUCAGAGCGUUCCUCGUUUAUUUUUUAAAAAAGGCGCCCAACAUAAAUUAAUUUUUUAAUUAAUAAUUUACCUUUUACCCGGUCUUCCAGUACCAGAACUACUGACUCACCCCUAUGCUCUAAAUUUUAGGUAUUUGUUUUUUUUUUAAGUAAAUAGACUGAGCUAGCGAUAUAAUUUAUAAUAAGGGUAGUUUCAUUGCCUACCAGUUAGGCGUUACUAAGUAGUGUAUUAUUACUUUCGAAAUUAUUUUCAAAAAGUAAGUUAAUUAAAAAGUUAUUUUCUAUAUAAA